CAUCAUCCGGUGCAAAAACAUUGAACUAUUCACAUUUUCAUUACUUCACUCGAUUCUCCAUGAAUAAUUUCCUGAUGUACUAGGAAGUUGUUAAUGCUCCUUUGUGCACCAGAAUACUUUUAAGAGCUGGGAGAAAAAUUCUAGGAAAAAAAAUGAAUUCACUGAACUGGGCCCUGCAAGGCGGUGACGUGGGCUGUAAGAUCACACCUGGAAACAACUCAUCACUCCACCCCUCUGUAGCCUAUAGGCAUGGGAAAUAAAGCAAAGGCUCUGCCUCUGCUUCCACUUUAUCUGCAGGAUGGGCAUUACCGCAGGCGUCGACAUCCCUAUCUGGCUUGCUGGCCUCUUGUGACAGUCUCCUCUGGGUCAUCCAAGGUUACAAUCAGCAGAAAGGAUGGCUGUGCAGGCUGCAGCUGCUCGGUCUGACCCUGUCUUGGUUCAUUAACGCUGCGUAAGGCAGAUCAUACCACUCCAUCAACAGCACCUGCUGGUCAGGACCGCGACCCAUUCACUUUACAUCUACCUGAUGUUUCCCUGCACAGACCGCUGACAGUGCUGUUGAGACUGUGUUGUGUCACUGUGAAUGCUCUCUCCAGUAAAACGCUGCGGAUGAGCGGCCGUGUUUGUUCAAGGCCAAAUAGAAAAGUGCGAUUCUGCAAACAGCCCUCAGGCAGGGUGUUUCAUAGGUUGCUCAGAAACCAUGACAGAGUUAUAUCACGCAGCUGUGGUAGCACAAUACCUAGUCCACUGUGGUUUUAGAUU